CUCUGUGACUCCUACGGGAGGCAGCAGUGGGGAAUAUUGCACAAUGGGGGAAGCCCUGAUGCAGCCAUGCCGCGUGUGUGAAGAAGGCCUUCGGGUUGUAAAGCACUUUCAGUAGGGAGGAACGGUAGUGUAGUUAACACCUGCACUAUUUGACGUUACCUACAGAAGAAGCACCGGCUAACUCCGUGCCAGCAGCCGCGGUAAUACGGAGGGUGCGAGCGUUAAUCGGAAUUACUGGGCGUAAAGCGCAUGCAGGCGGCCUGUUAAGUCAGAUGUGAAAGCCCCGGGGCUUAACCUCGGAAUUGCAUUUGAAACUGGCAGGCUAGAGUCUUGUAGAGGGGGUAGAAUUUCAGGUGUAGCGGUGAAAUGCGUAGAGAUCUGAAGGAAUACCAGUGGCGAAGGCGGCCCCCUGGACAAAGACUGACGCUCAGAUGCGAAAGCGUGGGGAGCCAAACAGGAUUAGAUACCCUGGUAG
rnacentral:rRNA from 1 species